ensembl:lncRNA
CAUCCCAUCCCAUCCCAUCCCAUCCCAUCCCACCCCUCAGAGCCUCACCAGCCGCUUGCAGCUCAGUGCAAAGUCUCAGUAAACAUUUAUUCGAAGCUUUGCCACAAUUAACCUUAAGUUGAUUUGUGAAACUGGUCUACAAAUACUGAACUACGGAGUACAUGGUUUGGAUGGUCCGAUAAAGGAAUAAAUAAAAGCAUGUAAAGCUCUGUAAAAAAGAAGUCUGGUAUAUUGUAACUAGUUAACAGGAUUACCAGCAGGAUCUCGUAUGUGUCUAGGAUCGGAAGUGAACACACGGCAUCUCUUCAGACCAAAUCAUUUUUACAUAAACAGUUGUACAAACUUAAACACUGUAAUCAUAAAACCUGAUGUACAAAACAGGAUGUGAAAUCACUACCAUCAGUGCCAACAACAAGUGCUACCACAGCAAAUAUAACUUCUGAAUAAAAGGAAAGGAUUGGUUUUUACAUGUGCUGUCAUCACAGGUCGAUGGAAUUAUCCAAAAAGUUUAAAAUACAUGCGGAUACAAUAAAACCUUUUAUUUUCCAACCCAGACAAAGAGAACUCAUGGUCACUUAACACCAUUAGCUGCCAAAUACAGAUCAGUAUGUGAGGCAAACCACACUUAAACACUUACACACCACCAAAGAGCAAAGGUUGAUACUGGUCUAUUUUCCACACCGACGAUGCAACGACGAGUCUGGAGAAGCAAACCACGUGAAGGAGGUGCUACAAGUACAGCACUGAGUUCAAUGCACUGACACCCAAACCACCAGCACUGAGCUGUACUGGGUGUGUACACUGCACUGUGACACCCAAACCACCAGCACUGAGCUACACUGGGUGUGUACACUGCACUCUGACACCCAAACCACCAGCACUGGAGUGCUCUGCCAGAGGGGAAGAGCACAGCAGGAUCCCAGAGCAGACAGCUGAAAACCUUCAGGAGUGGGAACACUGCAGGAUUCCAAAGCAGGCAGGUGAAAACUUUCAUGAAUGGGAAGAGCACUGCAGGAUUCCAGAGGCUGGCUCCCAGAGCAGGCAUCCAAAAACCUUCAGGAAUGAGAACACUGCAGGAUUCCAGAGGCUGGCUCCCAGAGCAGGCAGCUGAAAACCUUCAGGGAUGGGAGCACUGCAGGAUUCCAGAGGCUGGCUCCCAGAGCAGGCAGCUGAAAACCUUCAGGGAUGGGAACACUGCAGGAUUCCAGAGUUGGCUCCCAGAGCAGGCAGCUGAAAACCCUCAGAACCCCGGUGAGUUCCCGAUCCCGGGCAGCCAGACCCAUCCUUGGCGCCUGUGCCAGCCGCUCACACAGGCAUGGGCUCUCCAGUGGCACAGGAAGGUCCAGGAGCAGGAUCUGUCCUGCAGGAGCAGCCAGGUGGGGCUGUCCCUGUGUCACCUGUGCCCCAGCAGGGCACCAUGGCUGUGGCAGAGCUCCAUGAAGUCACAGCAAGAAGCUGAAGCUACCAGGGUUGUCCUGUGCCAUCCCCACCUGGGACAGGUGAUGCUGCUGAGGUUUGUCCCGUGCCAUCCUUGCCCUGAUACAGUGACACUGCUGAGGGUUGUCCCGUGCCACCCCUGCAGGUGUAACCCACAGGUGACACAGAGCCCUGCCUGUCUCUGA